rnacentral:rRNA from 1 species
UGGGGAAUAUUGCACAAUGGGCGAAAGCCUGAUGCAGCGACGCCGCGUGCGGGAUGAAGGCCUUCGGGUUGUAAACCGCUUUUAAUUGGGAGCAAGGCGAGAGUGAGUGUACCUUUUGAAUAAGCACCGGCUAACUACGUGCCAGCAGCCGCGGUAAUACGUAGGGUGCAAGCGUUAUCCGGAAUUAUUGGGCGUAAAGAGCUCGUAGGCGGUUUGUCACGCCUGGUGUGAAAGGUCCAUCGCUUAACGGUGGAUCUGCGCCGGGUACGGGCAGGCUAGAGUGCAGUAGGGGAGA